GUGGAUUAGAUACCCUGGUAGUCCUGGCAGUAAACGGUGCACGCUUGGUGUGAGGGGAAUCGACCCCCCUUGUGCCGGAGCUAACGCGUUAAGCGUGCCGCCUGGGAAGUACGGUCGCAAGACUAAAACUCAAAGAAAUUGACGGGGACCCGCACAAGCGGUGGAGUAUGUGGCUUAAUUCGAUGCAACGCGAAGAACCUUACCAAGGCUUGACAUGGAUUUCUAAGCACGUGAAAGCGUGUGACCCUUCGGGGAACUUCCACAGGUGCUGCACGGUCGUCGACAACU
rnacentral:rRNA from 1 species